rnacentral:rRNA from 1 species
GGUUAACCGUAUAGGGGAGCCGAAGGGAAACCGAGUCUUAACUGGGCGUUAAGUUGCAGGGUAUAGACCCGAAACCCGGUGAUCUAGCCAUGGGCAGGUUGAAGGUUGGGUAACACUAACUGGAGGACCGAACCGACUAAUGUUGAAAAAUUAGCGGAUGACUUGUGGCUGGGGGUGAAAGGCCAAUCAAACCGGGAGAUAGCUGGUUCUCCCCGAAAGCUAUUUAGGUAGCGCCUCGUGAAUUCAUCUUCGGGGGUAGAGCACUGUUUCGGCUAGGGGGUCAUCCCGACUUACCAACCCGAUGCAAACUGCGAAUACCGAAGAAUGUUAUCACGGGAGACACACGGCGGGUGCUAACGUCCGUCGUGAAGAGGGAAACAACCCAGACCGCCAGCUAAGGUCCCAAAGUCAUGGUUAAGUGGGAAACGAUGUGGGAAGGCACAGACAGCCAGGAUGUUGGCUUAGAAGCAGCCAUCAUUUAAAGAAAGCGUAAUAGCUCACUGGUCGAGUCGGCCUGCGCGGAAGAUGUAACGGGGCUAAACCAUGCACCGAAGCUGCGGCAGCGACACUAUGUGUUGUUGGGUAGGGGAGCGUUCUGUAAGCCGUUGAAGGUGUAUCGUGAGGUAUGCUGGAGGUAUCAGAAGUGCGAAUGCUGACAUAAGUAACGAUAAUGCGGGUGAAAAACCCGCACGCCGGAAGACCAAGGGUUCCUGUCCAACGUUAAUCGGGGCAGGGUGAGUCGACCCCUAAGGCGAGGCCGAAAGGCGUAGUCGAUGGGAAACAGGUUAAUAUUCCUGUACUUGGUGUUACUGCGAAGGGGGGACGGAGAAGGCUAUGUUAGCCGGGCGACGGUUGUCCCGGUUUAAGCAUGUAGGCGGAGGUUCCAGGUAAAUCCGGUACCUUUUUAACGCUGAGGUGUGAUGACGAGGCACUACGGUGCUGAAGUAACAAAUGCCCUGCUUCCAGGAAAAGCCUCUAAGCAUCAGGUAACACGAAAUCGUACCCCAAACCGACACAGGUGGUCAGGUAGAGAAUACCAAGGCGCUUGAGAGAACUCGGGUGAAGGAACUAGGCAAAAUGGUGCCGUAACUUCGGGAGAAGGCACGCUGAUAUGUAGGUGAAGUGAUUUACUCAUGGAGCUGAAAUCAGUCGAAGAUACCAGCUGGCUGCAACUGUUUAUUAAAAACACAGCACUGUGCAAACACGAAAGUGGACGUAUACGGUGUGACGCCUGCCCGGUGCCGGAAGGUUAAUUGAUGGGGUUAUCCGUAAGGAGAAGCUCUUGAUCGAAGCCCCGGUAAACGGCGGCCGUAACUAUAACGGUCCUAAGGUAGCGAAAUUCCUUGUCGGGUAAGUUCCGACCUGCACGAAUGGCGUAAUGAUGGCCAGGCUGUCUCCACCCGAGACUCAGUGAAAUUGAACUCGCUGUGAAGAUGCAGUGUACCCGCGGCAAGACGGAAAGACCCCGUGAACCUUUACUAUAGCUUGACACUGAACACUGGUCCUUGAUGUGUAGGAUAGGUGGGAGGCUUUGAAGUGUGGACGCCAGUCUGCAUGGAGCCAUCCUUGAAAUACCACCCUUUAAUGGCUGGUGUUCUAACGUGGACCCGUUACCCGGGUUGCGGACAGUGUCUGGUGGGUAGUUUGACUGGGGCGGUCUCCUCCUAAAGAGUAACGGAGGAGCACGAAGGUUAGCUAAUCCUGGUCGGACAUCAGGAGGUUAGUGCAAAGGCAUAAGCUAGCUUGACUGCGAGAGUGACGGCUCGAGCAGGUGCGAAAGCAGGUCUUAGUGAUCCGGUGGUUCUGAAUGGAAGGGCCAUCGCUCAACGGAUAAAAGGUACUCCGGGGAUAACAGGCUGAUACCGCCCAAGAGUUCAUAUCGACGGCGGUGUUUGGCACCUCGAUGUCGGCUCAUCACAUCCUGGGGCUGAAGUAGGUCCCAAGGGUAUGGCUGUUCGCCAUUUAAAGUGGUACGCGAGCUGGGUUUAGAACGUCGUGAGACAGUUCGGUCCCUAUCUGCCGUGGGCGCUGGAGAAUUGAGGGGGGCUGCUCCUAGUACGAGAGGACCGGAGUGGACGCAUCACUGGUGUUCGGGUUGUCAUGCCAAUGGCAUUGCCCGGUAGCUAAAUGCGGAAGAGAUAAGUGCUGAAAGCAUCUAAGCACGAAACUUGCCCCGAGAUGAGUUCUCCCUGAGACU